ensembl:lncRNA
ACCAACCAAUCAGGAGUGUGCACAAGCUGCUCACACACGCUGAGACCCUCGCCCUUCGUCCUGCCUGGAAAACCCCUUCCCUGAGAGCCUUUGUGGAUUUGGGGUCUUUGAGCCUGAGCUUCCUCGUUGGGCCCCAUCCUGGACACCUUGCAAUAAACGCUGCGCUUUGCUUCACCACAGCCCGCUGUUGGUAGGCUGACUUUACUGCCUGCAGCCGAGCUGACCCAAGUUUGGCUCGGUAACAGCGCACAGCACAGAGCAAAGUGGGAGGGGUGGAGGGUGAGGGGGCAGACAGGAAGUCUCCACACGGCGUCCAGAGUCCCACUUCAGCUGUGGCCUCUCCUCUGAGCUUCUGUCACGAUAUCUGACACGACCUCUCCACUUGUGUGAAAUACAGAAUCCCGUGGCCAGCAAUCCCGUCUCAGUAAGGAGCAUCGGUCAACAGUUCUCUUUCACAUCUCACAAUGGACACAGCAGCCCUUCAGUCAGCUCUGCAGGGGACCACUGUGCGUCACACCCCUCUCCGGGCUUCCGUGAGAAUCUCCGGGCUGGCCUCCCCUUUCUCUCUGUGACAGGCCUCCCCGCAACUCCCAGCGGAGUGAGCCCUGGCAUUCUUUGGAGCUACGUCUCCCCACCUCCGUGGACGGUGGGGGUCCCAGUUCUCACUGCGGUGGCCAAUAGGCACAUGAAGAGAUGCUCAGCAUUGCUAAUUAUUAGAAAAAUGAAAACCAGAACAAGUGAGGUGCCACCUCACACCAGUCAGAAAACCCACAAAUAACAAGUGCUGGAGAGGGUAGAGAAAAAAGGGAGCCCUCCUGCACUGUUGGUGGGAAUGUAAACUGGUGCAGCCACUGUGGAAAACAGCAUGGAGCGUCCUCAAAAUACUGAAAAUAGACUUGCACACGAUCCAGCAAUCCCACUCCUGGAUAUGUAUCCCCAAACCUCGAACUUGAAAAGAUACACGCGCCCCUACGUUCACAGCAACACUGUUUCCAACAGGCAAGACAUGGAAGCAACCUAAUGUCCAUGGACACGUGAGUGGAUAAAGAAGGUGUGGAAAAGAUGACCACGUGUCCUACUCUGCCAUCUUGAAACAGAAAAUAUAACGGAAUACUACUCAGCCAUACAAAUGACAUAGUGCCAUUUGCAGCAACAGGGAUGGACCCAGAAGUCGUCAUACUAA